rnacentral:rRNA from 1 species
UACGUAGGGUGCGAGCGUUAAUCGGAUUCAUUGGGCGUAAAGGGUGCGUAGGUGGCGCGCUAAGUCAGGUGUGAAAUUUCGGAGCUUAACUCCGAAACUGCAUUUGAUACUGGCGUGCUUGAGGACUGGAGAGGAGACUGGAAUUUACGGUGUAGCAGUGAAAUGCGUAGAGAUCGUAAGGAAGACCAGUGGCGAAGGCGGGUCUCUGGACAGUUCCUGACACUGAGGCACGAAGGCCAGGGGAGCAAACGGG